rnacentral:rRNA from 1 species
CCUACGGGUGGCUGCAGUGGGGAAUAUUGCACAAUGGGGGAAACCCUGAUGCAGCGACGCCGCGUGAGUGAAGAAGUAUUUCGGUAUGUAAAGCUCUAUCAGCAGGGAAGAAAAUGACGGUACCUGACUAAGAAGCCCCGGCUAACUACGUGCCAGCAGCCGCGGUAAUACGUAGGGGGCAAGCGUUAUCCGGAUUUACUGGGUGUAAAGGGAGCGUAGACGGCCAGACAAGUCAGGAGUGAAAGGCGGGGGCCCAACCCCCGGACUGCUUUGGAAACUGUAUAACUGGAGUGCAGGAGAGGUAAGUGGAAUUCCUAGUGUAGCGGUGAAAUGCGUAGAUAUUAGGAGGAACACCAGUGGCGAAGGCGGCUUACUGGACUGUAACUGACGUUGAGGCUCGAAAGCGUGGGGAGCAAACAGGAUUAGAUACCCCGGUAGUC